ensembl:lncRNA
AUGUGUCUGCCGCAGGACAAAGCCAAGCGCCGCUCACCCUAUUCCUGUUCCCAGCCCGGCGCUGCGGGUCGGGGCUCCUGGGCACCCCCAGCCCUGCGCCCUGGGAAUAGCCCGGCCCCCGGCGACGUGUGUGGCGAAGGGGAAAUUAAUGGGGAGUGGUUGGAUGUGAAGGGUAGGAUCUGGAACACAGAGAGUACUUGGCAUGCUGAUGAGGCUGGAGCGCGGCCAGCCUGCGUUCCUGAGAGCCCAGUGUCCCCAGUGCGCCGUGGGCCAGGCAGAGAGGUCUUACUGGGGAGAGCAGUGGGGAGGGGGUGGUGCCUCCCGCCAGGUCAGGCUGCCCAGGUUAGGGAUAGGGAUAGGGUUAGUGCUGGGGUGAGGAUUAGGGUUAAGGUUCGGGUUAGGGUUAGAGUUUGGGUUAGGGUUGGGGUUUGGGUUGAGGGUGAGGUUGGGGUCAGGGCGAGGGGUGAGGUUGGGUUAGGGUUAGGUUAGGGAUGAGGUUGGGUUAAGGUUAGGUUAGGGAUGAGGUUGGGGUUAGGGUUAGGGUUAGGGUUAGGGCACCUCCAGGGAUGGAACAGCCCCAGGUCUCUGGACAGCCUGUGCCAGCCCUUCACCAUCGAGGAGGUGCUCCCCUAUGAGCAUUUCACGGCCUCCUCUGGACCUUUCCGCCAGCUCCAUGCCCCCAUGGCUGUCACCACACAAGCUGCAUGCUGCGCUCUGAGUGUGGCAUUCGAGGGCACGGUGACUGUCACCAGGCUGGAGGGGAUGGCUGCACCGUGUGUGGGCGAUGCGACCCAGGUGAGAGCUGUCUGGAGUGGGUUGGGCAUGCAGGAUUGCACCAGGGCUUUGCCACGCUGCUGUUCCCACUGCCAACGUCUCUGUAGUCCCCCGUGCCCAAUAAACCUAGUGUUGUUUAGGAGAAGCUACCUUCCCCAGCUGUGGCUCUGUGCUGGCUGCCAACCCUCUCCUGGGGUGAAGGCUUCUUUCCAUAGGUCUGUAUGUCCCUGGUGGGGCUGUUAAGCUCAGCUUUGCCUUCCAGGCCAGACCCAGGGGCUCCUCCUGGGGUAGCAGCCAAGGAUUCCCGGGGGUGGCAGCCAAAAGCUGGCAUCCUGCUGGCACCACGGCAUGACGGGCACAGCCUUGGCACCAGGCUCUGAGCAGAGCAGCAAGCCGUGGCUGCACCGUGGUGACAAGGUGACAGGGUGUCCCC